UCUCUUUCGUUCACCUCUCAACAAAGGAGCAGCUUUUCGCACCUUUCCUUCGUCUAAUUGUUUUUUCUUUGUGCAAAUAGAGUUCUUUCUUAGUUCCUUCCCUCCUUCUGAAACUGGGACGGAUGGAUUCUUCUUCGCCGACCCUAACAAACCUACUAAAGAAGGGAGACCCUUCCUCUUCUGCCAACAGGUAAACCGGAACCAGACUGAAUACCACUUGUCGACUUUGUCUUAGGUUAGGUCGAGUCUGCCUCUGACCUCUUCCUUCUUCCUUCUUUCAUUUUCGUACUUCUGACUGAAUGUGAAUGCCGUACUUAGAGUUAUCCCACUUGGGAGUCAACUAAGCUGCCUCAAAGGAGACAGAUGACUCUUUAUGUUAGCGAAAGGGAUCCAUUCUUCGCGCGGACAUGUGAGACAGCUACUACUUCUCAUUCCGAUUCCAUAUCCUCCCCAACUGAGGCUUCCUGUCCGGCUUGCUCUAACUCCGCACCGCGUAGUGGGCUCCUUCGCUCGCUGAGUGAGCACCGACCCUAAAUCCGGUCUGUCUGGCUUCCCCCCUCUGUCUCAACAGGGACAGAUUCCUAUCCUAUGAUAACCUUUCCAGCUCUUCCUACUAAAUCCGGUCUAGCUGCCGCAACGGAGAGAAUACGAGGUCUCAGUCCGUCUCUCAUUGCAAAGCUGCUGCCGACCCCUGUUGAAAACCCUUAAAAAGGAGAUUUCAGCCUCUUUCCGCAACUCUGAUUCAUGAAACUGGGGGAAAGAUUCUCCUUUGCCUUACCUUAACUGAAUAACUCAAGAAGGACCUACUAAGGGCUGGCCUUGCCUUUACGAGCUGCUUUACAGUCGUUCUACCCUCUGAUAGAAUGAGGAGAGAUUCAAGUCUGAGACUGCUGGUCGAGGAGCAAGGGUUCGCUUCCUUCCUCUUGGUCGAGACAAGGGGAUUUCCAAUUCUUUCUGAGUAAAUGCCUAGACCGGUCGAGCAGAAUAGAGCAGAGUCGAGCUCUUGUCCAAUCCGCAUGUCUGUCUUCAAAGAGGAUUCUAUAGGUCCGAGAAAACUGGGCUAUUGCCCAUGGGUCCAAUCAAUUUCGAUUUUCCCGCCUGAGGCCUAUCCAUUAGAGAAUUUGACUUGCGAUCGGAGUCUUAUGACUUGAAGUAGGUUCCGCGGAGUGGGAAAGAAAAGAAAGAGUACCCCCUAGUAAGAGGAAGCGAAGUAGCUGACCUACCUCACUCAAGACUGACCUCAGCCCUAAAGCCCUUGGCUUAUUGCAUAUUUGAGACUCUGAACUUAUAGUCCGGAGGCGGAAUGAAAUAUGCGAAGGCGCAAAGAAUUUGCGAGGCGUAGGAGAAACUUAAGGAUCAAAGAAGAUCCCUGCCUUUCUUUUCUUGCCUGUGAAAAGUCAAUAAAAGAAAAGAAGCUCAUUAACGAGAAUGAAAGAAGAAUUAUUCUUGAAUAACCUGGACUCAAAUCCAAGAAUCCCAGAAAAUGCUAGGGCGAGACUGGUCCGGAGGACUGAUUCAUAAGGCAGUCAUGAAAAAGAUGUAAAAAAACGACUAUUAUCGGUCCGAAGGUUAUGAAAUAACGAGAAAAAAAACAAAGAAAUUCAUGAAUUGAGAAUGAAACCUAUGAAUUUUUGUAAUCAACGACCUUGUAAUCCUUAGCGAAAAUUCAGAAAAAGCUAGGUUUUGGGUAUGGCUGGCAGCAACUUUUCAUUCAAAAUCUUGAAUUUUUUCUCUAUUAUCGUUAAAUAUCAAGAUGAGAAAAAGGACCAUUUUGCAAGAAAAAAGACGGGAAAACGCAAUGAAAGAAUCAAGCCUAUCAAAGAAAUGAACAGACUUUGAUGAGAGUUCUAGUUUCUGGUCCGGAUAAAGAGAGGAGAAAGAAAGUCAAAUGCCUGAUUUUGAACUCUAUUAUCGUAGAGUAGAUAGAGUCUCUAUUUAUGCUAUUUGAGUGGAAAAAGAAGAAAAAAUCCCGGGGUUUUGAAAAAAAGAAGAGACUUUUUCUAUCUCAUUUGCUUAAGACAUACAAGUAGGAGGUUCUUUGAAAGUCGUUAAGAGUCGACCCUCUGAUCUUUUCUUUCUAACUCACCUCUAUGCCUCCGUCCUCCCUCCUAUAUAUUAAGAGUGAUUUCUAGGACGAAUAUGAAUUCAGCCUCGUCUUCUCGGUCAAGCUGCUUUCGCUCCUUUCUCUCUCUUUCUCCAACCUUGCACAAGAUCGACUCAAAAUCAAAGAAUGAUCUCAGAAUGAUCGGCGAAAGGACUGAAUGAGAAUAUAAGAAGGUGCGAAGGAGCGAAAGCGGCUCGACUGAGGUUAGGAAGGUUCAGAGCGAAGGUUCAAUUUCAGGUUCUUUGAAAGUCGACUGAUAAGGAGUCAAUGAACAAGGGCCCUUUCCCUUUCUUUUUUGAAAUAACUCGACUCCAAAUGAUAAGGAGAGGCAAGAAAACAAAGGCAGGGAUCUUCUUUGAAUAAGGAAUUCUCUCCUUUUUAUGGAGUGCAAGGAAAGAAAUCCAUAUGAAAAAAUUAGGACAGGUCUCGUCAACUCCUUACGGAGCCUCUUCUGGGAUAAUAGUGAGAGUUCUGGUUCCCUUCUCGUACUGAUGAAAGAAGAGAGUGUACUCACCUCCUUCAAUGCAAGCAUUUCAUAAUCAAAUGGGAAUAUGAGUUCAUAGAUUCUCUUUAUAAUAGAGUGAAUUGAGUGAAUAGUAUCGAUUCAGAGAAGAUAUUUCUUUGCUACUGAAAGAGCCACUUCAACUGCUACUGCCACGGUGACUGAUUUUUCUUACCUAGCAUCGGACAGCUGGAGAGAUAUGUCAAUCCCAUCUAAGAGAGAAGGAAGGCGCCUUAGGCCAUGGGAAAGUCAGCGCUACGUGGGCCUCUUCCUUCUCUUCUGCUUCUUGAGGCUCCCUAGCUUCCCAACCGACCUAUGAGAGAGAGAUAGCUUGAGGCGCCUCGUCUCGAGUCAGUUAGUUCGGGCGAGAUGGAACUCUCUGAUCUUUUCUCAUAAAUGGAUAUAGUGAAUUAACUCAGAAUAUAAGCUUAUCAAGAACAAGAGAAAGGGGAGCUACUGAAGAAAGAGCUGCGACUGCUACUUCUGCAAGGGCAGCCACUGACUCCCUCUGUCCGGCCCCUUCUCUCCCUCCUCCUCCGUCUUUUCUUCUGAUCUUCCCUCUUCGCGCUUGAGCUUUCCUCAACCUUUGGUAGAGCGGCUGAGCACCUUUCCCAAUGGGGAUUAUCUCGUGAGGGAUUUCUUAGAAAAAGAUUCUGAAAGAUCGACUGAUGACUCCAACUCGGCUGCUAGUGCUAGGCGGUCCCUCUUCUCUCCUGACUUUGUCCGUCUUCCUUCGGUCAACUUACUUUCUGCCUUCGGGAUCCGGAACGAGUAAUUGAUUCAGAAAUCAUAUAUGUUCAAUCCCAAAUCAUUGAAUGAGGCCUUACGAAAGAGAUAUCAGUCAAUGCCCUACCACGGAUGAGGCAACUUCUUCAAGAAAAGAAAGAGCCUCAGCAGACACAAGAACUGAAAGCAACUUCAUUCCCCUAAAGAGGCUCAGGCUGAUCUUCUAGCUCCCGCAACAGCCCUCAGCCGGCGAGAUCUCAUUCCCUUUCUCUAGCCUAUGAUAGAUAGCCUUUCUAUCUUCUAUCUGACCUACUAGCUUCGACCCUUUCUUCUAUCUUCUAUCUGACCUUUCUUCCCCGAUCGAGAGAGACCUAUGACUAUGAUUAUGAGACAAUGAUGAUGAGAUAAUAGUACUUCCUUUCUGGAUCAUGAAACUGAGAAAGCUCAUCAGACCUCUCCGAUACAGUCAGUCAAGCCUAUAUCAUAAUCAUAUCUACCCGCUAUGGAGACUUCUCCCUCUUCCUAGCCCGCGCGAAAGAGAGAUGCCCCCGAGCCAACCUUCUUUCAGUUAUCCUCCUUCGCACCUGCCUCUCCGACCCGAUGCUUCCUUCUUUUUCAGCCAAAAGGUCAGUUUGAUCGCUCCGUAGGAGUCUUCCUUAACGUGGAAGUUUGCACGUGGAAUCCCGGUGGGGAAGAAAAAUCAUUCGAGAAGAUGGGACGGAUUAAGAGAAAGAAGCCGACGAAUGAGAAUGAAAGAGCUACGCAUUCUCAACAACUUCUUCAACGAGAGCUGAAAGAGAAAGUCAAUGAACAAGGGAAGCGCUACGUGGGCCUUCCCUAAUAUGCUUUCGGCGGCGUCCGUCCUAGUCUCAUUCUCUGACCUCGGACGAGGGUCAAUCCGGCUUCCUUUCGCAAAUUCUUUGCUCCUCUUCGCUUUCUCUCUUAUUGCUAGGGCGGCGUCCUACUCUAAGUUACUAAGUUACGUGAUAGAAGGAUCUGACGUCUAAUCCCUUUCUUUCUUUAAGAGUCAAAAUCAGUCUUUAAUUAAGAGAAGAUGGGACUUCGACCAUAGGCUUUCUUCUAAAUAGUAGGUUCCCACUCCCAACUUACGGUUAUGUAAUAGCUCGACCUUCGAUCAAUGAACAAAGGCUCAAAGAAAAGUUCAUAUGUCCUUAUCAAUGAGACUGAUCGAUGAAGAUCCAUAAAGAAAAGAGUUGGCUCAGAAUGAAAGGCAUCAACGAGUGUGAAAUCGUUACAGAAAGAUGGAUAGAAAAUAGAGAAAUCGGCGGCUCCAGAUCUCGCCCAUGGAUGAGUGCGAAAGGAAAGGACGAGGGAUAGACUCCAUCCUCCUGUCCCGCCAAGGCCUCUUGUUGAAUUACCGGUCCGUGGUAGUUUCAUUCGCAACCUCUCCUUCUCGUUACGUGAAAUGCCAGCUGGCUUGAGAACUACUCAUUCUCUGUCUUGCUUUGGCUACCCUAUUUCUUUAUUAAUCCUUGAUUUCGUUCUCGAUCUGCUUAUGACUCUCUGACUGCUGGGACCUCUGAUUCAAUGGGACAAGGGGCCUCCUUACUCCCAAUGAAAGAGGCAUCAAAAUAGAAGUUGCGCUUUCUUCGACGUAGGUUUAGUCUUCUCAUUCCGAUUUGACUGAGGCACAGCCACUCUCUUGGGAUUCUCUUUUUUAUGAGAUAUUCUAUAUCAGUCAAUGAACAAGGGCUUUCUUCUUUUGGUCAGACACCCAUAGGGCGGGCACUCAAGAGUGAGUUGUGGAGAACGAGACCACCCGGCUAGACCACGAGUUAGCGGCUUUGCCGAUGACCUGUAAUUGACAGAUUUUUUCCUUUACCGGUCCGUGGUAGUUUCAUUGUUUUAGUCCGAAAUUCAAAUCAUUCACCGGUAGAAGGUAGAAGAAAAGGGGAGGACAGACAACUAGAAAGCCCUUAACCUUCAGGGGGAAGAGGGUUCGUCUAGCUAAAGGAUGCAAGAUUUCUAAUCAACAAAGAAAGGGAAAGAUCAGCAGCGCCUUAGUGGAGGAAGAGGGCUAUAGGCCCAUAAUGAAUCACCUUCAGCUAGAACUAAUUAAUAAAAGAAAAAAGAAAGAGUCCAACAACUAGAAAGUUCAGUCAGGUUAAAUCAGUUAUAAGGAAGAAACUAGUCCGCUACUUUCAUCUUCUAUAUUCCCACUUAGCGGUCCAAAAACAAAGGUCCAGAUCUUAUGAAAUAAGGAGACUGAAAGGUGCGAAGCAGCUCGACUAAGAAGGAGUCAAUGAAGAAGGGCGUAGCUUAUGUAAAGGAAGGAGUGCAACUAAGGAUGAUUCCAUAUUAGGGGAUGGUUCGACUCGACGGGAUAAAGGCCGCUCGAUCAUGGUAAGGCCAAUCGCCUUUCUUUAAUUCACUUUAGGGUCUUGGAAAGGUAUGAAUAAAUAAGACCGAGACGCCUGGCCAAUAGGAUCUAUCCAGCACCCUAACCCAUUUUCUGUCUUCGACCCUGAAGCCAUGACAUGAAUUACUCCGGAAGGAAUGUGACGGAAAAGUGUUCUCAUACGAGUCCCAAACGGUCAAAUAAUCGAUAGGGGAGAAGGGAGCACAAACUCAGCCGCUACCGCUACACAGGUCUCUCUUCAUCCCUCUCUCUUUCGGAAGCGUAAUCCCUUUAUGUUGAAGAAGAAGGAAAUCUUCAGUCAUUCUAAGCGAGGAAUCAGUCACGGGUGCCUCUCUCGGCUUGACCCUUUACCUAGGAUAGAAUAUGCUGAGUGGGUAUCAACCGCUACGUGGGACCUAGAUCUCCAGUUUCAUAAGAAGAGAAAUCGGCGAACUGACAGAUCCAGGUUGACUACUAUCAUUUCAUUCCUCACAGACAGAGGGAUGUGCUCAGGAUUGAGACGGAGUCGAACGAAAGAAGAAGUCGACUCGAUCGAGAUCAAGGAGGGUCAGAAUUCCCCGUUGUUAAGCGAGAACCGAGUUCAGAAAAGAUUCCAUCAACCCGCGGGUAGGAUUUUAGGGGUUCACAUUGCAUUUCAUGAACAGUCCCAAUCUAUUGAUUUGAAUUUCUUGCUUCCACCUAUAGGUUCAAAGUGACUAAACAAGGGAUUCUUCUUCUUCUUCAGUCUUUUUUAGGUUCUUUAUUGGACUUUCUUCUUCCGCUCCGGUCCGAACCCCUCCGUGGGUGAUCUUGAAAGGUAGGCUUUCUUCUUCUUCUUCUUCCUCUACCUUUCCUCGUAAAGAGAGAAUGAAAGAAGAUAAGUGCUCUUGCUCUUGCUCUUUGGCCUCUUCGCACCUUUCCAGUCGCUUCGAUCAUUCUUUGAGCCUUUCUUUGAACUUCUUUGUUCUUCAAUCUGAUUUUCACCCUUCCCUUGUUCAUUCAGGCUCCUGAACAGUCGUUUCGGACUAAUUUCUUAAUAUGGAUUUCUCAAAAGGGUUCCGUAGGGUUGUCUUUGACUUGUUGUUUAUUUCGUUGUGGAUCGGACGCUCCCAAUAGGGAAUGGGGAAUGGGGAAUGCUACCCAGCACCUACUUUGAAAAUAUAAGAAAAUCAGGAGAAAGCCAAAGCCGGACAACUGACUGACGAACUUGUUAGGAAAGACAAAGCCGGUAGCCCAGGUAGCCCAGAGCAGCUACCGACAACUAGGGAGAGAGGGACCAGAAAGCUUAGAAAAGAGGUUGCUUUUUCCCUAGUCUCUUUCCUACCUUCUUAUCCGCGGCAUGAGGUUGUGGUAUUUCGGAGAGCGCUUCGGGGUUCUCUAGGAGCCUUGUUGAUUGCGGCUCACCGCGUAGUGGGGGCUCUUUCUAGGUUGUACGAAGUUGUACGAACUAUUUCUAUCUUUUUUUCGGUAUAUUAAGGGGGCCGUGCCCCUUUCAGAAUAAGGAAUCUUAGUAAAUGUGUGUUCAUGUUCAUGAAAGGAAUCUGAGGCUCAAAGAAUUUGAGUGACUCUUUCCCAAGCCGAAAGGGAGGAAAGAGCUAAAGUCACACCGCUACGUGGGUUAACAACAAGAGGUUGCGAAAGCAGCUCAAGCUCCUAAAGCGAGAGGUGAAAAACUAUAGACUUAGAAGGAGAGGUUCAAAGGAUAUUGACGACUGAAAAAGAAAA